rnacentral:rRNA from 1 species
GACGAACCGUGCGAACGUUAUUCGGAAUCAUUGGGCUUAAAGGGUGCGUAGGCGGGCUCGUGAGUCAGGGGUGAAAUCCCACGGCCCAACCGUGGAAGUGCCUCUGAUACUGCGGGCCUGGAGGGGGAUAGGGGCGUGCGGAACUUCCGGUGGAGCGGUGAAAUGCGUAGAUAUCGGAAGGAACACCGGUGGCGAAGGCGGAUCUCUGGGCCUUGCCUGACGCUGAGGCGCGAAAGCUAGGGGAGCGAACAGG